ensembl:lncRNA
CUAACUCUGAGCUUCAAGAUUUUCAUGUUGCAUUCAACAGUUACUGUUACAGCGAGUGUCAAUUAGAAAAUAAAAGGAAUGAGUUAGCAGAGCGUCCAUAUCAUGUAUCAACAAUGUUACCUAACAGAGCACGGAUAAGGAAUACCCAUCAGAAUAAAGACCUGCUAGGGCCUUCAAAAUUGUAAUAGUUUGAUAUAUAUACAGCCACUCCGGUCCUAUUAAUUAUAUAAGCAGUUCUGGUUCUACCAACACAACAAAAAAAUGUGAAAACUGAAGGUAGUAGUGGACCACAGAUAGACUGCUGUAGCUAAAAGAGCAUGACAUGGCAGUAUGUGUAUGGGAUAUGAAUGAUGGCCAGCAGGGGGUGAUCUUGUGUACUCUUACUUGGCCAAAAACAGAAUCCACGAUAGGUCUGAGGUCGAGUUCUUCCUUCUCCUUUGGUUCCCCAUUCUCAGCAGGCUCUUCCUCUUCUUCCUCCUCACCAUCUCCACUUCUGCUGGGAGGAUGGAUGGGCUGAUUCUUUUUUUGUCCCAUUUUCGGUCUUGUAUUACUGUUAAAUGCCUCCACCACACCUGUUUCAACUUGCUUCCUCUGUUUCUCCACCUUCUUCUUGAUUGCGGCCUGGACCUGUCAGAAGACACAGGAGGUGUGUUUUAUCCAGGAGGGCAAAGAAAGACUGAAGGAUACCGUGUCUGCUUUUUUGCCUUGUAACAUUCAGGAGGUGACACUCUAUCCAUCCGAUACCCCUCUCCUUAUCUUUCGUUUGCCCUUUUCUGUCUGAGUUGCAGGCUGUAUUCUAAAGUGCAUUGGAUUGGUAAGAUAAGGGGUUUCUGUGUUAGCAGUAAAAAAAAAAGCAGCAAAGGAUUUAUAUGAAAUGUCUGUCUGUCACCCACAUGAAUGUUUGUGUGGUUUACGAGGACUCUCCAUAUAGGCCAAAUGGUUUCUAUACUGUGCAAACUGUAUUUUCCAUCCUAUAAACCUAACAUUACACCUCACAGACAACUGCUGGCAUUUUUUGAAAUUCAAAAAACAAAAGGUUUUUAAAGUCAUUUAGUUUAUGAGGACACAGAAACCAUGUAUUCAAGCACACACACACAAAACCUAUACACAGUGUUUCUGCUGUGCCUAUAGAAAUGGAGUAUCAGAUAUUUUAUUUAUCAAGAAAUUAUUGGCUAUUAUUUAUCUGUCACAUUACCAAAAGUGAGGAUGAAGAUUACAAGGAAAUUAAGGUUUUAACUGACUUGGAAUCUGUAAAUUAAUUAUUUUUAAAUAAAGUGCAGAAUUUAAACUGAAAUUGGCA